GCGGCCAUGGUUUAAUGGUAGAACAACUGGUUGCCAAUCAGUUGAUGGGAGUUCGAUUCUCCCUGGCCGCACAA
rnacentral:tRNA from 1 species